CAAAUGUAACCCAUUUUAGCGCGAAACUCAGGUCACAACAUGACCGCGAGUAACCUCUAACGGAAGCUGACGGCCGUGAAAUGACUUCCCAUGACCGCGAUAGACGCUCUGUUGACCUGCAAUAACCUCUAUCGGCACCAACCUCGGAGGAAAGACGUGACCGAGGCGCGCGGGAACUCUCGUAUGACCCGACAAACACUCGCUUCCUGUCGUCUGCGCGAGGCCGUUGACCCCAUUGCGAGGUGCGGCCAUGAGUGGCAUUUCCCGAUACUUCAAUGCUCAAGGCUUAUUAUUAUCGUGGAUGAGCCACAUACUGGGACGCGUCUGGUAGCAUCAAGGUCGGUGAGAUACAGGGGCGAAGCUGUGCUGUUUAGACAGACAAAGCCGCACAGAAAAAACAAGGUUUCCAGUGGCUUUACGUUGGAAUAUGGAGUUUGAAAUUUAUGGAAAUUCCUUUGAUUACAAAAUUAUAAGCAAUGAUGAUCGUAUCGUUUCUGUGUAUUUCUGAAAACCUAGUACCUUGAAUCCAGUUGUCAUUUAGACAACAGUCACACAGACACGGGUGCCAAAUCAUACUCAUUCAUAGUAUCAUAUAUAGAACAUUUUUAAGUUGCUUCACUUCCCCUACUUAUUACAAGGAAGGGAAAAGCAUGAUGAUCGUUUAACAGAACAUCCUUCCACUAGUACGAAAUGUCGCAUGAUAUGAACUGAUAAAAUUUCAUUUCUUAGUCAACGAACGCUAUCCAUUGGCUAUCAACCUUGUUUGGGGACACGCGCCCUUUCGCAAAGGACGUCGGGUACUGAGGAAUUGUGGGUAAUUACGGUGUACUUGAAGAACUUGGCCCAAAGAAGUGCAUCAUGGUCCAACCUACUUUCAGGACGGCUUCAACCGAUCUGACACUGUCCCAGAAAGCUCUAGACGUGACCUGAAGAGGUCAUUCAAGUAGGUCAAUGUUGGCGGGCAUUGUGGGAAGGAUAAGUUACGUCAUCAGGGUUGUUUUUAGAAAGAUGUGUACAUGUGCAAGAUUGAACCAAGCACAUGCGCAGACGCGGAUGUAGGACUGAUUCAGGAUGCAAGAAACCAACUCAGCGGUUAUUCAUCCACAGGGCCAGUAGCGUAAUGGAUAACGCGUCUGACUUCGGAUCAGAAGAUUGCAGGAACCGUCGCAGGAUCUUCCCACUAGCCGACUUGGGAAUUCGGUCUGUGAACUCCACCAGCCGGAGCUUCUUGUAAGGAGCAACUCGACCUGUGGAAAGGAAGUUUGCAUCAAUAGACCGAACCUAAUUAGUAAUUGAACCAAUGAGAACAUGGCAAUUAGCGGUACGACCAAUGAGAGAGCGGCCACCUGUCCGUCAAAUAUUUGCAUUUCUAAGGGCUAUGCGAUCGGCCAUUUGACCAACUCGCUACCGUCUGGACGUACACUGAAGGAUGGGUACAGGGACUGGAACUGUCAUUUUCAAUAUAUGAAUAUUAAAUAUUGCACAGUUAUGCAAUACCACAAGCCAUGUUUGUAUUAAACUUAAUGUUUUAGAGAAAUA